rnacentral:rRNA from 1 species
GGCGUGGUCGUCCGGCGGGGCUCCUUCAUUGGGGCCGUUUGUCUGGUUUUCGACCGCACCAUUCUCGGGUAGUGUGUCGCUGGCAUUAGGUUGUCGGCUUCUUCACGCCCGUCGUUUACUGUGAAAAAAUUAGAGUGUUCAAAGCAGGCUUAGGCCGUUGGA